rnacentral:tRNA from 1 species
GGUUGUGGCUCAGUGGUAGACCACUUGUGUCGCAAGUGCAAGGCCCUGGGUUCGAUCCUCAGCACCA